CCCCUCGACCCGGGCCCAGCUCCGCGGGGUCCGUGCGGGCCUCCCCCGCCCGCCCCCAGACGGGACCCCCGGCCCGGGCCAGGCGAUACAGGCGCUGCCGGGCCCGGCUCCUGCGGGACUGCGGCAGCCGCAGCCCGCCUCGGCCCGCCCGGCCCCUGCGUGCGGGAGGCAGCAGGGGGGAGCGUGGAGAGCCGGCCCCGCGGGCUGAGCCUGGAGCUGGCAGCGAGGCCCGUGUGGAGCCGGGCGGGUGCGCGGCUGGACGGCGCGGGCUGCGGGCAGGCCCGGGGAGGACACACACAGAGGCGGGCUGUGCGGUGCCGCACGCCCGGGCCCGGCACAGGGAGGCGAAGCAGGUGCCGGCGGAGCGCGCUCCGACACCGCAGCGGGCAGCGAGCGGGCGGGCGGGAGGCAGCGGCUCCCCGGCCACGAGCUCUUCCCUGCAUCCGCCGCGGGCUCCCGGCCCGGCGGUAAGAGCCCCGGCCUUCCCCGCACCAUCGGCGCCCCCGAGCCGGCAGCCCCGCGGGUGCGGGACUCGCGGCGGGGCCGGGGUCGUGUCGUCUUUGAAGUCCUGGCGAGCUGUGGCCUCAGGGUGCAGCGGCCGGGGGCCGCCGCCGCCCACCCCGCCUCGUGCCCGGGGGACAAGCCUCAGGCGGGAAGGCAGAGUCGCCGCUCCUCCGCAGUGCCGAGAUCCAGCCAGGAAGAGGCGGCGGCUGCGGGACGGGCGGGGAGGCCGUGAACAAGCCCAGCGUCCUCCUGAACUUCAGGGACACUUUGCUGUCUCUCGUACCUAAACGGCACGGGGGUUGCUGCACCCUAACAGGGAACGAAAUUUGGCAGUGGAUCCCUGACUGUGCCUUGCUAGCCGGCUUGAAAUUGAUCUUUAGCUGUAGCAAGAAGCAGGCGAGCUGCGAGGGAGGCUCCGCACGAAGAAAGAAGACAGCUGCUCUUGCUUUUCUAGAUGGCACAUCCUCCAUUAAAUCUGCCUUAAAUCUG